CCACCUUUGACAUGUACGGAAUCCUUUAGAGAUAGAGGAGUGCUCGAAAGAGAACCGUAACACAGGUGCUGCAUGGCUGUCGUCGGCUCGUGUCGUGAGAUGUUGGGUUAAGUCCCGCAACGAGCGCAACCCUUGUCAUUAGUUGCUACAUUUAGUUGGGCACUCUAAUGAGACUGCCGGUGACAAACCGGAGGAAGGUGGGGAUGACGUCAAGUCCUCAUGGCCCUUAUAGGUGGGGCUACACACGUCAUACAAUGGAUGGUACAAAGGGUCGCCAACCCGCGAGGGGGAGCCAAUCCCAUAAAGCCAUUCGUAGUCCGGAUCGCAGUCUGCAACUCGACUGCGUGAAGUCGGAAUCGCUAGUAAUCGUGGAUCAGAAUGUCGCGGUGAAUA
rnacentral:rRNA from 1 species